rnacentral:lncRNA from 1 species
CAUCAGGAACUGGCAGCAGCUAAAAUGGAGCUAGAGAGAAGUAUAGACAUCAGCCGGAGGCAGAGUAAGGAGCACAUGUGUCGAAUCAGCGACCUGCAGGAUGAGCUGCGGCACCGGGAGCACCACAUCACAGACUUGGAUAAGGAGGUGCAGCACCUCCAUGAAAGUAUAAGUACGCUUACGAAAGAACUGGAACUGAAGGGGAAAGAAAUUCUCAGAAUACGGAGUGAGUCCAACCAGCAGAUGAGACUAGAAGAUAUGGAGGAGAAGUAUCUAAUGAGAGAAUCGAGGCCAGAAGACCUACAGAUGAUUGCAGAGCUAAAAUCCCUGCUUACAGAACGAGACCAGGUCAUAAAGAAACUCAUUCCCUCCUCAGAGUGAAGCCUCCCCGGUGGCUUCUCCGGAUCCCCAGCGCCAGGAGUGGUUUGCCCGGUACUUCACGUUCUGAAUGACGGUGCUGGCACGGCUCUGUGUGGACUGUCCAUGGCAUGGCUGCAUAGGAACCGUUAUGUGGACUGGCCUGUCUAUGGAAAGCACUGUGAAUGAGGAAGUAUUUGUCUCUCCAAUCUGAAAUGCACUGUAUUUCCUGCGAUACUUACUGGAGUCACUCUCUGAGGUACUAUAUUAUGUGUGUAAUUAUAACAAUUAUUUUUAUCCGAGACGGAAGUCUUAAUCUUUGUAAUUACUGCAUAAUAAAUUUUGUUAGAAC